UACAAUCCAUAGAAAUAGAAUGAUCUAUUUCUAUGGAUUGUAUACACAACAUUCUACACAUACUGGCUUUUAAACUGACCUUGCGUUGUGAUUGGCUGGCAAAUUCCAUUCCGGAACAUCUGUUACUAAGCAACUAAGUGGCUGCUUCUAAGCCCCCCCACCUUAGUUACAGUAUAUACUGUAGAGAAAAUGUAAACACUAGGCAGACAAAGUAUUAGAGCAGAAAGAUGACCAGUUGGGAUUGGCCAAUUAUUAGGUUUAACAACAUCUAUUCGUUUACAAAGCCUGCAGACGAUCUGCGGCGGUUCAGCUUUCGGUUCUGGCAGCUCUCGCCUUCCUGGCCGACGGGAACCGGCCUUCUGUCUCUGGAGCUUGCCUCCCCUUCCUUCCCCGCCGGCCCUCCAAGCCUCCAGGCUCUGCCCAGUCGUCUGUUCCAGACUCUGUGGGACGAUUUAGGGAGCUGUUGGCCAGCAAGGAUGAAUGAAGGGCUCCGGCAUGGAGGGAUGAACUCUUUCUCCCAUAUUUACAACCGCGGAGUCGGUCCAUGACAGGUGCCUUCCCACGGGCCAACUUCUCUCAGUUAGAAGGGCAUUAGGUAAUGUAUGAACUCUAUCAGGGUUGAGGGGGAGCAGCAGCAUCACUGACAGAAUUUAUCUCAUCUCUAAUGUAGUUCAGCCCCCCUCUCAUCCUGUCCUCUGUAUUUCAUUUGGAGAAAAGCAGGUUAAUUUGGGCAGACAUGCAACAAUAUUAUCGAGCGGAGAGGUCGUUUCCUGCAGAAUGCUAAAACAAUGACAGUGCUUUUGGCGUUUUUGGCUUCAUAACAAGGUUUUUUCGAUUCUUUGUAGCUUUCAGUGUCCAGUUGUAGCACCAUCUGUUCGUGCUUUUCAUCUAAAACAGGUUGGGAAAGGCAGUUUUCAACACUGCACUUGGUGAAGUAAUCGUUGAGUCAUUGGUAUUGAACCCUGUGAAACCCCUGCAGUCCCACACUGUGGUCAUUGUGCGCUACUUGGCUGUAAAUAUCUUACUUAUUGCACCUUUAAGAGGUGAGAAAUCGAACAUCUGAUGCCCGGCUGAGGGUGUGAACGGAGGCGGCUGUAAUCCUCCCUGUGUAUGUGUGUUGCAUAUGUCUGUAUGUGUGUGGGUGAACAGCAUGUAUGUGAUUUAUGUAGUAACUGACAGCCUCUAAAGACUGUUGUUUUUCCCUUUAUUAUGGAAAUGCCUUACCGAUACAGCACAGUGUGUAUGUUUCAUGUAUUCACUAAAAUCCCUUACUGUGUAUUAUGCACCACUGGAACUGCGCCAGGAACAAUACAAUACUGUAUCCUCUGAACAGAAACUGUGAAAAAAUACUACUGCAAAACAUUUCUUAAAAGGAUUUCUACCAUUUGCACUUGUGAAUACGGAAGAUGACAUUUAAAGAGCCAUGUUGAGAAAUACGAGGGUUCUGAUAUUCCCCAGUUAAGCCACGGGAUGAUUUGUAGUGUUAAUAUAUUUGUGACACAACAUCAGCAGCAUCAUCUGUGGGGAGGAAAACGGCAGGAAACUGUGCAACGGCAACAUCCAAAGUGUCAAUCGGAGGGAGUUUAAAAGAGCAAUACAGUCUAUUCUCUCAAGGUGUUUCUCUGAGGUCUCAAUCCAAACUGCUAUAAAGUUGAAGUGUGAUGGGAUGUUGAUUUCAGAAUAUUUCAAAAUGUUAUGCACUUUUUCAAAUGGUAGAUAACUCAAUUUGAAUUUAAGCGUUUAGACGUAGUUAGAGGAUAAACACCUUGAGAUGCACCAUCUCGUUUUCAAGGGGGGUCCUCAGGCACAAAACAUGGAAGUUAACAUUUAAGCACACAAAUAAUAAUAACGAUAAUAAAUGAAUCGUUAGAGUUGCAACAAUUAAUCGACCAAUCAAUUAGUUGGUAACAGCAAGAUAGCCACUGCUGUGUGAAUGUGUGUUGCAUGCUUCAUUUGCAUCACUAGUUAACUUCAUCCAGGGCCUAUACUCCUAUAUAAUUAGUGCUCAGACCAAAGUUUUGGGUUGCUCUUGUCUUCAUUUGGUAAUCUGGAGCUGUAGUAGUACCGCAAAGUCUCUCUUCAAGCAAUUUUGGAUGCCCUACAGCAAAUCAAAUCUGGAAUACUUGGAUGAGAGUCAAUCUGGGGGUGGUUUUCACCCGCUGGCGAGCACCAUCGUUGAGUUUGGGAGGAGGGGCAAACCUUGAAUGUUGUGUUUACAGACCGCAACUGACAAAUCCUACUCAUUGUGCCUUUAACUAACGAAAGAACCAUUUAACAACCCAACAGGACUUGAUGCUUUGGCAGCGAGACAAACAUGCACGCUCCUUCUCAGCUUCUUCUCGGCUGCGGAAGGAAGAAAAUUAAGGAUACUUCGUGGACUGACUUUACUAUAAUUGGACAUCACAGAGUUUCACCGCUGCUUCACAGUAAAAGACUCUUUAUGGUAUUUAAGGAUAAUGGAUUGGCUGCACGAUUACCAUAAACAAAUCAAUCAAUGCUCCUCCGCGAUGGAGAAAACGUGAGCUCCGACGCUGGAAAACGGCCUCAUGUGUUCACACAGCAAUCCCCCGAUGACAGCACGGGAACCGGCAUCGCAGCGCUCGCAGUGAUUGAUAUCCUAAUACAAACACACCUCUCAGAGGAACGCUUGGCUGAUUGUUGUGCAUUCAUGGCAUCGCUUUAUGUAUAACAGCCAUCCAAUAAGCGCCGGGGCUCCUGAAUGAGAAGCAGCUCAGAGGACAGCGUCUGUUGGAGAACACGUGUAAAU